GAUGAACGCUAGCUACAGGCUUAACACAUGCAAGUCGAGGGGCAGCAUGGUCUUAGCUUGCUAAGGCCGAUGGCGACCGGCGCACGGGUGAGUAACACGUAUCCAACCUGCCGUCUACUCUUGGACAGCCUUCUGAAAGGAAGAUUAAUACAAGAUGGCAUCAUGAGUCCGCAUGUUCACAUGAUUAAAGGUAUUCCGGUAGACGAUGGGGAUGCGUUCCAUUAGAUAGUAGGCGGGGUAACGGCCCACCUAGUCUUCGAUGGAUAGGGGUUCUGAGAGGAAGGUCCCCCACAUUGGAACUGAGACACGGUCCAAACUCCUACGGGAGGCAGCAGUGAGGAAUAUUGGUCAAUGGGCGAGAGCCUGAACCAGCCAAGUAGCGUGAAGGAUGACUGCCCUAUGGGUUGUAAACUUCUUUUAUAAAGGAAUAAAGUCGGGUAGGGAUACCCGUUUGCAUGUACUUUAUGAAUAAGGAUCGGCUAACUCCGUG
rnacentral:rRNA from 1 species